UACGGAGGGGCUAGCGUUGUUCGGAAUUACUGGGCGUAAAGCGCACGUAGGCGGCUUUGUAGGUUAGAGGUGAAAGCCCGGGGCUCAACUCCGGAAUUGCCUUUAAGACUGCAUCGCUAGAAUUGUGGAGAGGUAAGUGGAAUUCCGGAGUGUAGAGGUGAAAUUCGUAGAUAUUCGGAAGAACACCAGCGGCGAAGGCGGCAUCCUGGCCCUAUCCUGACGCUGAGGCGCGAGAGCGUGGGGAGCAAACCGGG
rnacentral:rRNA from 1 species